CUACAGAGGUCUUUGGAAGAAGGGCACAUGGAUUUAUUGUGUCCUCUCUAGGAGAUAACUUACAAUUACCCUUACCUACACUUGUAGAGUGCAACCAGAUACCAGCCAACAAAGAAGAAAUACCUACACCAGAAGUUGCCUUCUUCCACCCUCACCUAAAGUCAAUAGCAAGUGAAAUCCCACCACUUGACAAAGAUGCUAAAAUCCUUCUUCUGCUGGGAAGAGAUAUUCUAAGGGUCCACAAGGCGCACAGGC